UACGUAGGGGGCAAGCGUUGUCCGGAAUCAUUGGGCGUAAAGAGCGUGUAGGCGGCCCGAUAAGUCCGCCGUGAAAGUCCAGGGCUCAACCCUGGAAUGCCGGUGGAAACUGUCGGGCUGGAGUCCGGAAGAGGCGAAUGGAAUUCCUGGUGUAGCGGUGAAAUGCGCAGAUAUCAGGAGGAACACCAAUGGCGAAGGCAGCUCGCUGGGACGGUACUGACGCUGAGACGCGAAAGCGUGGGGAGCAAACAGG
rnacentral:rRNA from 1 species